rnacentral:lncRNA from 1 species
CUGGGUUUGUUUUUUAUACGACCGCAAAAUUUGAAAAAUUUUUCGUCGUAUAUUGCUAUCACGUUGGCGUCUGCGUCGUCGUCGUCGUCCUGCGUCCGAAUACUUUUAGUUUUCGCACUCUAACUUUAGUAAAAGUGAAUGGAAAUCUAUGAAAUUUUAACACAAGGUUUAUGACCACAAAAGGAAGGUUGGUAUUGAUUUUGGGAGUUUUGGUCCCAACAUUUUAGGAAUUAGGGGCCAAAAAGGGCCCAAAUAAGCAUUUUCUUGGUUUUCGCACUAUAACUUUAGUUUAAGUUAAUAGAAAUCUAUGAAAUUUUGACACAAGGUUUAUGACCACAAAAGAACGGUUGGAUUGAUUUUGGGAGUUUUGGUUUCAACAGUUUAGGAAUUAGGGGCCAAAAAAGGGCCCAAAUAAGCAUUAUUCUUGGUUUUCGCACAAUAACUUUAGUUUAAGUAAAUAGAAAUCAAUGAAAUUUAAAUACAAUGUUAAUGACUACAAAAGGAAGGUUGGUAUUGAUUUUGGGAGUUUAGGUCCCAACAGUUUAGGAAUUAGGGGCCAAAAAAGGGAC